AGGGCGUACGGUGGAUGCCUAGGCUCUUACAGGCGAUGAAGGACGUGAUAAGCUGCGAUAAGCUUCGGGUAGGUGCAAAUGACCUUUGAUCCGAAGAUUUCCGAAUGAGACAACUCGGCAGGUUGAAGGCCUGUCAUCCCGCGAAUGCGGGAGGCUAACGCGGGGAACUGAAACAUCUUAGUACCCGUAGGAAAAGAAAAUAAUAAUGAUUCCCUCAGUAGUGGCGAGCGAACGGGGAAGAGCCCAAACCAAUGAUGUUUCGGCAUGAUUGGGGUUGUAGGACUGCGUUGUUGCAAGAAAUCAAGAUAGAGGAACGUUUUGGAAAGAACGACCAUAGAGAGUGACAGUCUCGUACUCGAAAUUUUGAUGAAGCAUAGCAGAAUCCUGAGUAGGGCGGGACACGUGAAAUCCUGUCUGAAUCCGGCGGGCCCAUCCGCCAAGGCUAAAUACUCGUAAGAGACCGAUAGCGUACCAGUACCGUGAGGGAAAGGUGAAAAGCACCUCUGUCAGAGGAGUGAAAGAGUUCCUGAAACCGUACGCCUACAAGCGGUCGGAGCACCUUAUGGUGUGACGGCGUGCCUUUUGCAUAAUGAACCUACGAGUUACCGUCAUUGGCAAGGUUAAGAGUAAUGAUGCUCCGAGCCGAAGCGAAAGCGAGUCUGAAUAGGGCGCCAUGAGUCAGUGGUGGUAGACGCGAAACCAAGUGAUCUACCCUUGUCCAGGUUGAAGUCCCGGUAACACGGGAUGGAGGACCGAACCAAUAAGCGUUGAAAAGCUUCUGGAUGAGGUGAGGGUAGGAGUGAAAGGCCAAUCAAACUUGGAGAUAGCUCGUACUCCCCGAAAUGCAUUUAGGUGCAGCCUCGGGUGUUUCCUGUGUGAGGUAGAGCGACUGAUUGGAUGCGAGGGCUUCGCCGCCUAUCAAGUCCAGACAAACUCCGAAUGCGCACAGGUUAAGCCCGGGAGUGAGGGCGUGGGUGCUAAGGUCCACGCCCGAGAGGAGAAGAAUCCUGACCAUCGUCUAAGGUCCCGAAAUUCUGAUUAAGUUAAACUAACGUAGUGUGGUCCCGGUGACAGCUAGGAUGUUGGCUUGGAAGCAGCCAUUCAUUCAAAGAGUGCGUAACAGCUCACUAGUCGAGGGACUGUGCAUGGAUAAUAAUCGGGUAUGAAAUCAGAUACCGAAGACAUGGGAUGUAUGCUAUACAUCGGUAGGGGAGCAUUCAUGCGGCCUUGAAGAUUGAGGACGACCUCAGUUGGAGCUUCAUGAAAAGCAAAUGUAGGUAUAAGUAACGAUAAAGAGUGUGAGAUGCACUCUCGCCGAAAGACUAAGGUUUCCAGGGCAACGUUAAUCGUCCCUGGGUUAGUCGGGUCCUAAGGCUCAGCCUAAUGGUGAUGCCGAUGGCAGAAAGGGUUAAUAUUCCCUUACUAUCUGAUAUGGCGAUGUGGAGACGGAGAAGUGACACUUCCGCGAGCUGACGGAAUAGCUCGUUAAAGGACAAAGACGUCGAUGAGAGUAGGCAAAUCCGCUCUCAGAGUUGAAGUCCGAUAGUAUGCAAAGUCCUCGGACGGCGCAAUAGCGAAGGUAAUCAGACUCCCGAGAAAAUCCGCUAAGCUUAACAUAUGAGAUACCCGUACCGUAAACGGACACACGUAGUCGGGUAGAAUAUACUAAGGCGCUUGGAAGAUUCAUGGUUAAGGAACUAGGCAAAUUGACCCCGUACGUUCGCAAUAAGGGGUCCUCAUAGUAAUAUGAGGCGCAGAGAAUAGGUCCAGGCAACUGUUUAACAAAAACACAGGGCUGUGCAAAAUCGAAAGAUGCAGUAUACAGUCUGACACCUGCCCGGUGCCGGAAGGUUAAGAGGAGAUGUCAUCGCAAGAGAAGCAUUGAAUUGAAGCCCCGGUAAACGGCGGCCGUAACUAUAACGGUCCUAAGGUAGCGAAAUUCCUUGUCGGGUAAGUUCCGACCUGCACGAAUGGUGUAAUGAUCCGGACGCUGUCUCAACCAUGAUCUCAGUGAAAUUGUAGUAUCGGUGAAGAUGCCGAUUACCCGCGAUGGGACGAAAAGACCCCGUGAACCUUUACUAUAGCUUAACGUUGUAAUCGGGCAGUCGAUGUGUAGGAUAGGUCGGAGGCAUUGAAGCAGGCACGCCAGUGUUUGUGGAGCCGCUGUUGAAAUACGACCCUUUGGCUGUCUGGUUCCUAACUCCUUGGUAGGAGGACACCGUUUGGUGGGUAGUUUGACUGGGGUGGUCGCCUCCAAAAGCGUAACGGAGGCUU
rnacentral:rRNA from 1 species